UACCUGUGUCUUUGGUUGCUUUGGA
rnacentral:misc_RNA from 1 species